CUAUAAACAAGGUGGUGAUACUGAUGUAUCCUUCUAUGAACAAGGUGGUGAUACUGAUGUAUCCUUCUAUGAACAAGGUGGUG